GACGAACGCUGGCGGCGUGCUUAACACAUGCAAGUCGAACGGGCCCGCUCUCUUUUUUGGGGGUGGGUUGAGUGGCGAACGGGUGAGUAUCACGUGAGUAACCUGCCCCCUGCUCCUGGAUAACUGCUUGAAAGGGCGGCUAAUACGGGGUGUGCCGGCUGGUCCGCAUGGGCCUGGUCGGGAUAGUUUCAUCUUCGGGUGUUUCGGUGGGGGAUGGGCUCGCGGCCUAUCAGCUUGUUGGUGGGGUGAUGGCCCACCAAGGCGGUGACGGGUAGCCGGCCUGAGAGGGUGGGCGGCCACACUGGGACUGAGACACGGCCCAGACUCCUGCGGGAGGCAGCGGUGGGGGGUAUUGCACAAUGGGCGGAAGCCUGAUGCAGCGACGUCGCGUGAGGGAUGGAGGCCUUCGGGUUGUGAACCUCUUUCUCCGGUGGUGAAGGCCCUGUCCGUUGCGGCGGGGUUGACGGUAGCCGGGGAUGAAGCGCCGGCUAACUACGUG
rnacentral:rRNA from 1 species